rnacentral:rRNA from 1 species
GACGUAGGAUGCAAGCGUUGUCCGGAAUUAUUGGGCGUAAAGAGUUCGUAGGCGGUUGCCUAAGUCUGAUGUUAAAGCCCGGAGCUCAACUCCGGCAUGGCAUUGGAAACUGGGUGGCUAGAGUGUGGUAGAGGUCUCGGGAAUUCCUGGUGUAGCGGUGAAAUGCGUAGAUAUCAGGAGGAACACCGGUGGCGAAAGCGCGAGACUGGGCCAUAACUGACGCUGAGGAACGAAAGCCAGGGGAGCAAAAGGG